AACAGACUCCCCAUGCCUUCACUCAACCAAAAUAUAAAACGCUCCUGCCUCUGUGGACGACGUAGCUCAGCAGAGAACCAAACACUUCCCACCUCUGGACGAUGUCGUUCCCGCUCUUGCCUCCGCCGCUGUCUCAGCCUUCUCUUCGUCGUCGCUCCCGACUCCGCCCGACUCCGCCGCUGUCUAAGCCUUCUCUACGCCGUUGCUCCCACCUCCUCCGACGUCUAAGCCUGCACCAAAGUUUCUGCCAUUGUCGUCUUUUCCCGACUCUACCACGGUCUCCAUCACCAUCCUACAGGUUAGUCCUCUAAUCUUAAACCCUAAUCCUUAAUUUCCUAAUUCUAUUGAGCAAACCUGUGGCUACUUCCUAGGAGCGGCGUGAGCAGAUCGGCGUGAGGGAUGAGGAGAUAAGAAGACCGCCAAUUUCAAUCACUCAUUUCAAAAUGCGAGGCCGAAAGACAAGAAAGGGAGAAGACCGCCUAGGAUUCAGCAUCCACCUGCAACACCGAAGAAGAAUCUGUUUGAUGAUGUUCCUCUGCAUAGAUGUGAGGGCAGUGAUCACUAUAAGGAAGAAGAUUAGGAAGGGGCUUGUUGACAAGAUUGAAGACCAGUGAGUAUCUUCCAUCAAUGGGAUUGGUAGAGGAAUCUUGAUGACCGAUCUUC